rnacentral:rRNA from 1 species
GUUAAGCUUUGGACGAGAGUAGUACUAGGAUGGGUGACCCCCUGGGAAGUCCUCGUGUUGCAACCC